rnacentral:rRNA from 1 species
UACAGAGGUCUCAAGCGUUGUUUGGAUUCAUUGGGCGUAAAGGGUGUGUAGGUGGCGCGCUAAGUCGGGUGUGAAAUUUCGGAGCUUAACUCCGAAACUGCAUUCGAUACUGGCGUGCUUGAGGACUGGAGAGGAGACUGGAAUUCAUGGUGUAGCAGUGAAAUGCGUAGAGAUCAUGAGGAAGACCAGUGGCGAAGGCGGGUCUCUGGACAGUUCCUGACACUGAGACACGAAGGCCAGGGGAGCAAACGGG